CCUAUAAAUACUGAGCCCUUUUUAAUCAAUUUCACAUAAUUAUUUUCAACAUAUUGAGUCUGUUUUGUGAAAGUAAAAGUACGUCAAAAGAAUAUUUGUGCGUAUUUUCAACGUUCCAUCUUCUCAGUUUAAAGGUGGAACAUUCUCAAUAACAAAAUGAAGCACAUAAUAUUCCUUUCACUGCUGUUCAUCUUGCAUACCAUCGCAAUCCAAGGAAACGACAUUCUAACUGGAAACUUCUCCCUCAACAUACCCGGUCGACCAACCUCACCAUUUCCGCGUUUACAAAACUUCAACUCCAACUUAACAAAACACGGCCCAGCUGGAAAAUCUUUCCCGGUAGAAGUCACUCGUCAUCACAUCAUCCCGCUCUCACACUUCACGAAAUUCUACAACGAAUCAAUUCGAAGAGACGAAUUUUCCAAAUUUAAAACAUUUUGGUUCAGAUUCAGUCAACGAUUUAACGAAUUCUAUUCUUACAAAGCUCUUGAAGAAAGAAACGAGACCAAAUACAACACUAUUAUUAAAAACGUGGAUAAAAUCUUCGAAGGAUUAUUCUAUAAUAAAAUAGUACACGAUGCUAAAGCCAAAAAACCAGCAAAUUUUGACGAUUUCCAAGCCUACUACGCUUGGUUACCAGGAAAUACAUUCGUUGGUCCUAGUAAGCGUAGUGACGAUCCUGGUGAACUUUUUGAGAGAAAUGCUCGAGCAAUUGUGGGAUCUACACGUUUCGCUGAUUUUAAAAAGACUUAUACUCUGAUGCAAUUUUAUAUUGAUGGUAAGAAGAUAGACUUUGAUAAAUUAUCCGAUAAAUUGAGAGAUUUAGCGACCCCCUUGGAAUCUGAAGAUUUGAAGAGUUCUGAUUGGGUGCAAAAUAAAGAUGGAACUUAUAAAAUUAGAACGCAAAAUUAGAUAUUUUUUCAACGUUUCACUGGAAAAAUUCUGGUUUUUUUGCACGAUGAAUUUCGUGAAAUCAACUACAAUACCUAUUUACCUAUUCUUAUUUAUUUGUUUAGAAAUAAGCACAACAUGUACUUAUCUACCUCUAUUUACCCACCUAACUAAAGUUAAUUGAAAAUUGAUUUUAUUCUAGAAAUAAAGAAUAGGUGGGUACUUAAUUGAAAUAUACGAGUAUAUCAUACCUACA